rnacentral:rRNA from 1 species
GAUGAACGCUGGCGGCGUGCCUAAUACAUGCAAGUCGAGCGGACGGACGCUAAGCUUGCUUUUCUCAUGUUAGCGGCACGCGUGUGAGUAACACGUGGAUAACCUACCUAUAAUACUGGGAUCACUUCGGAAAACCGGAGCUAACCCCGUAUAAUAUUUUGAACCGCAUGGUUCAAAAGUGAAAGACGGUCUUGCGGUCACUUAUAGAGGGAUCCCCGCUUCAUUGGCUAGUUGGUAAGUUCACGGGUUACCAAGGCAACGAUGCAUAGCCGACCUGUGAGGGGGGUCGGCCACCGUGGAGGUGAGACGCGGACCUGAGGACUACGGGAGGCAGCAGUAGCGAACCUGCGGCAAUGGGCGGAAGCAUGACGCAGCAGCGCCGAGUGAGUGAUGACGGUCUUCGGAUCGUAAAAAUCUGUUAUGAGGGAAGAACAGAUUUGUAAGGAAAUGUGCCCAUCUUGACGGUAACUAAUCAGAAAGCCACGGCUAACUACGUG